CCCUGGGUGGUACAAAUGGUUAAACGCUGGUCUGCUAACCCAAAGGCUGGUGGUUCAAACCCACCCAGAGGUG
rnacentral:tRNA from 1 species